rnacentral:lncRNA from 13 species
AUGAAGAAUGCAACCUUAAUCAACACCACACUGGAGGAGGUGAACAGGGGUCUUCGGGACAAAAAUUGUCAGCUUGAAGAGAAGAAUGCCGCUCUACAUCAAAAACUCCACAGCACUGAGAAGAUGUAUAGACAGACUCUAAACGAGCUGACCAAAGCCCUGAUUCAAGGCAAACAUGAGGAAAAGCAACAUAUUGACACGCUACAAGAGAAAAUCCAGACCAUAUCUCGGAGAGCCUCUGCUGCUGAGCAUGCUCUGGCCAUGGAGAAGAAUGAGGCAGCGCUACUCCGCCAGAGGAUUUUUCAACUAACCUCAAAGAAGCUGAAAAUAGGAAAGCCUGGGUUCCUGAUCAAGACCACCCCCAAGCCCCCGAAAACAACCAAGACCAACAAACCCUUCUUGAAGACCUGCAAAUUUCUGAAAGCUUUCAAAGCACUAAUGAAGAUAUGA